UGCGCAUGCGCCUUCCGUCACACGUGUUGGUGUCUUCAGGAGCGCGCGGUGAAGAUGGCGGACAUGGACAUUGGUUCAGCCAAGAAAGAGAAGAGAAAGAAGACGAAGAAAGUUUCAGAUGAAGAAGUUGGGGAAAUUCAGGAGAGCGGUGAUUUUCUCAUCAAACCCGAGUCUCGGGUGGCCAGUUUGGACACAUCUCAAUGGCCGUUACUGUUGAAGGUACACGUGUAUGUGUGUGUGUUCUGAUGAUGAUGAAGAAUGUGCGUGUGUCUCGUGAUGAACGUGUUUAUCCAUUCUCUGAGUGUCUGGGGUCU